AGGUUAAGUUAUUAAGGGCGCAUGGUGAAUGCCUUGGUACUAGGAGCCGAUGAAGGACGGAACUAACACCGAUAUGCUUCGGGGAGCUGUACGUAAGCUUUGAUCCGGAGAUUUCCGAAUGAGGAAACUCGCUUACUUUGAUAGGUAAGCACUUGACUAGUGAAUACAUAGCUAGCAAGAGGCAGACGUGGGGAACUGAAACAUCUAAGUACCCACAGGAAUAUAAAGAAAUUUCGAUUCCCUAAGUAGCGGCGAGCGAACGGGGAAUAGCCCAAACCAUCCUGCUUGCAGGGUGGGGUUGUAGGACUGAACAUUUGAGUUACAAAAGUAUUUGAUAGUCGAAUUAGUUGGGAAGCUAAGCUAAAAAAGGUGAUAGCCCUGUAGACGAAAUUAAAUACCCUCAGUUCAGGAUCCUGAGUACGGCGACACACGUGAAACGUCGUCGGAAUCCGGGAGGACCAUCUCCCAAGGCUAAAUACUCCCUAGUGACCGAUAGUGAACCAGUACCGUGAGGGAAAGGUGAAAAGCACCCCGGAAGGGGAGUGAAAUAGUUCCUGAAACCAUGUGCCUACAAGCAGUUAGAGCCCGUUAAUGGGUGAUAGCGUGCCUUUUGUAGAAUGAACCGGCGAGUUAUAGUUGCAUGCAAGGUUAAGUCGAAAAAACGGAGCCGAAGCGAAAGCGAGUCUUAAUAGGGCGUCACAGUAUGUAGCCAUAGACCCGAAACCAGGUGAUCUAUCCAUGUCCAGGAUGAAAGUGCGGUAAUACGCACCGGAGGUCCGAACCCGUGUACGUUGAAAAGUGCUGGGAUGAGGUGUGGAUAGCGGUGAAAUUCCAAACGAACUUGGAGAUAGCUGGUUCUCUCCGAAAUAGCUUUAGGGCUAGCCUCGGAAUUAAGAAUCAUGGAGGUAGAGCACUGUUUGGACAAGGGGCCCAUCUAGGGUUACUAAGUUCAGAUAAACUCCGAAUACCAUUGAUUUAUGUCCGGGAGUCAGACAAUGAGUGAUAAGAUCCAUUGUCGAAAGGGGAACAGCCCAGACCGCCAGUUAAGGUCCCUAAAUGUAUACUAAGUGGAAAAGGAAGUGGAGUUGCUUAGACAACUAGGAUGUUGGCUCAGAAGCAGCCACCAUUUAAAGAGUGCGUAAUAGCUCACUAGUCGAGUGAUUCUGCGCCGAAAAUUUACCGGGGCUAAGUAUACUACCGAGACUGCGGACGCAACGUAAGUUGCGUGAUAGGAGAGCGUUCUAAGGGCGAUGAAGUUAGACCGUAAGGACUGAUGGAGCGCUUAGAAGUGAGAAUGCCGGUAUGAGUAGCGAAAGAUUAGUGAGAAUCUAAUCCACCGAAUGACUAAGGUUUCCUGGGGAAGGCUCGUCCACCCAGGGUUAGUCGGGUCCUAAGUCGAGGCCAAGAGGCGUAGACGAUGGAUAACAGGUUGAUAUUCCUGUACUAGUUAAUUAUGUUUGAGCGAUGGAGGGACGCAGAAGGCUAAGUUGUGCAUACUGUUGGAUAUGUAUGUUUAAAUCAUAAGUCAGGUGAAGAGUUAAAGGCUUAUCACCGAGUUGACAAGUGAUGAUGAGGACCGAAAUUAAAGUAGGGAAGCAACUGAUGUCACGCUGCCGAGAAAAGCUUCUAGUGAGUAAUUAACUACCCGUACCGCAAACCGACACAGGUAGUCGAGGAGAGAAUCCUAAGGUGAGCGAGUGAACUCUCGUUAAGGAAUUCGGCAAAAUGACCCCGUAACUUCGGGAGAAGGGGUGCUGACCGCAAGGUCAGCCGCAGUGAAGAGGCCCAGACGACUGUUUAUCAAAAACACAGGUUUCUGCAAAAUCGUAAGAUGACGUAUAGGGGCUGACGCCUGCCCGGUGCUGGAAGGUUAAGUGGAAGAGUUAGCUUCGGCGAAGCUUAGAAAUGAAGCCCCAGUAAACGGCGGCCGUAACUAUAACGGUCCUAAGGUAGCGAAAUUCCUUGUCGGGUAAGUUCCGACCCGCACGAAAGGCGUAACGAUCUGGGCACUGUCUCAACGAGAGACUCGGUGAAAUUGUGAUACCUGUGAAGAAGCAGGUUACCCGCGACAGGACGGAAAGACCCCAUGGAGCUUUACUGUAGCUUGAUAUUGGGUGUUUGCAUAGCUUGUACAGAAUAGGUAGGAGCCAUCGAUAUCGGAACGCUAGUUUCGAUGGAGGCAUUAGUGGGAUACUACCCUUGCUAUGUGAACACUCUAACCCUGAACACUUAUCGUGUUCGGAGACAGUGUCUGGUUGGCAGUUUGACUGGGGCGGUCGCCUCCCAAAUAGUAACGGAGGCGCCCAAAGGUUCCCUCAGAAUGGUUGGAAAUCAUUCGUAGAGUGUAAAGGCAGAAGGGAGCUUGACUGCGAGACAUACAGGUCGAGCAGGGACGAAAGUCGGGCUUAGUGAUCCGGUGGUACCAUAUGGAAGGGCCAUCGCUCAACGGAUAAAAGCUACCCUGGGGAUAACAGGCUUAUCUCCCCCAAGAGUUCACAUCGACGGGGAGGUUUGGCACCUCGAUGUCGGCUCAUCGCAUCCUGGGGCUGUAGUUGGUCCCAAGGGUUGGGCUGUUCGCCCAUUAAAGCGGUACGCGAGCUGGGUUCAGAACGUCGUGAGACAGUUCGGUCCCUAUCCGUCGCGGGCGCAGGAAAUUUGAGAGGAGCUGUCCCUAGUACGAGAGGACCGGGAUGGACAUACCGCUGGUGUACCAGUUGCGCCGCCAGGCGCACAGCUGGGUAGCUAUGUAUGGAUGGGAUAAACGCUGAAAGCAUCUAAGUGUGAAGCCCACCUCGAGAUAAGAUUUCCCAUUCCUUUAUGGAAGUAAGACCCCUCAAAGAUGAUGAGGUAGAUAGGUUAGAAGUGGAAGCACAGCGAUGUGUGGAGCGGACUAAUACUAAUCGGUCGAGGACUUAACCAAG
rnacentral:rRNA from 1 species